UACGGAAGGCAGCAGUGGGGAAUAUUGCACAAUGGGCGCAAGCCUGAUGCAGCCAUGCCGCGUGUAUGAAGAAGGCCUUCGGGUUGUAAAGUACUUUCAGUCGUGAGGAAGGUGUUAAGGUUAAUAACCUUAGCAAUUGACGUUAGCGACAGAAGAAGCACCGGCUAACUCCGUGCCAGCAGCCGCGGUAAUACGGAGGGUGCGAGCGUUAAUCGGAAUUACUGGGCGUAAAGGGCACGCAGGCGGUUAAUUAAGUUGGAUGUGAAAUCCCCGGGCUUAACCUGGGAAUGGCAUUCAAGACUGGUUAGCUAGAGUCUUGUAGAGGGGGUAGAAUUCCAUGUGUAGCGGUGAAAUGCGUAGAGAUGUGGAGGAAUACCGGUGGCGAAGGCGGCCCCUGGACAAAGACUGGCGCUCAUGUGCGAAAGCGUGGGGAGCAAACAGGGAUUAGAUACC
rnacentral:rRNA from 1 species